rnacentral:rRNA from 1 species
CGCGUGUGUGAAGAAGGCCCUCGGGUUGUAAAGCACUUUCAGUGAGGAAGAACGCUUGCGGGCCAAUACCCCGCAAGAGAGACAUCACUCACAGAAGAAGCACCGGCUAACUCCGUGCCAGCAGCCGCGGUAAUACGGAGGGUGCGAGCGUUAAUCGGAAUUACUGGGCGUAAAGCGCGCGUAGGCGGCGUGAUAAGCCGGUUGUGAAAGCCCCGGGCUCAACCUGGGAACGGCAUCCGGAACUGUCAGGCUAGAGUGCAGGAGAGGAAGGUAGAAUUCCCGGUGUAGCGGUGAAAUGCGUAGAGAUCGGGAGGAAUACCAGUGGCGAAGGCGGCCUUCUGGACUGACACUGACGCUGAGGUGCGAAAGCGUGGGUAGCAAACAGGAUUAGAUACCCUGGUAGUCCACGCCGUAAACGAUGUCGACUAGCCGUUGGGGUCCUUGAGACCUUUGUGGCGCAGUUAACGCGAUAAGUCGACCGCCUGGGGAGUACGGCCGCAAGGUUAAAACUCAAAUGAAUUGACGGGGGCCCGCACAAGCGGUGGAGCAUGUGGUUUAAUUCGAUGCAACGCGAAGAACCUUACCUACCCUUGACAUCGUGCGAACUUUCCAGAGAUGGAUUGGUGCCUUCGGGAGCGCACAGACAGGUGCUGCAUGGCUGUCGUCAGCUCGUGUUGUGAAAUGUUGGGUUAAGUCCCGUAACGAGCGCAACCC